rnacentral:rRNA from 1 species
GAUGAACGCUGGCGGCGUGCCUAAUACAUGCAAGUCGAGCGAACAGACGAGGAGCUUGCUCCUCUGACGUUAGCGGCGGACGGGUGAGUAACACGUGGAUAACCUACCUAUAAGACUGGGAUAACUUCGGGAAACCGGAGCUAAUACCGGAUAAUAUAUUGUACCGCAUGGUUCAAUAGUGAAAGACGGUUUUGCUGUCACUUAUAGAUGGAUCCGCGCCGCAUUAGCUAGUUGGUAAGGUAACGGCUUACCAAGGCAACGAUGCAUAGCCGACCUGAGAGGGUGAUCGGCCACACUGGAACUGAGACACGGUCCAGACUCCUACGGGAGGCAGCAGUAGGGAAUCUUCCGCAAUGGGCGAAAGCCUGACGGAGCAACGCCGCGUGAGUGAUGAAGGUCUUCGGAUCGUAAAACUCUGUUAUUAGGGAAGAACAAAUGUGUAAGUAACUAUGCACGUCUUGACGGUACCUAAUCAGAAAGCCACGGCUAACUACGUG